GACAGAACCUGCGGAGCUUCCACGACGUUAUCUUGGAUUUCUGCAUUCCUGAGUUCCCGUUCGCAGUCUGUCUUCGCCAAUAACGUACUCUCAGAUGCCCACCCAGUCUCUUACGGUGUACCACAGGUCAAACAUACGUCUCUUUGCCGAUGACUGUGUCCUUUAUCGCUGCAUCUCCUCUCCCGACGACCAUCUCAUCCUUCAAGAUGACCUCACCGUCAUCGAUCACUGGUGCAGACCGGCGAGAAGAGGGAGCAGUCGGGGAUGGAGGCUCGGUGCUCGGGCCUCUUCAGGGAACCGUCCGACCCAAGGCACGACGGCUGCUAGCACCAGGAACUAAGCCAAUACAUGCGGUUCCCUGUGACUUGAUGGACGCACGUAAUCACAUAAACAAGAAAUACUUAGGCAGUGUUAUCGAGACGUGAGGAGGAGGACCCGGGCAGGACUCGUCCCUGGGGCCUGUAAUUUCUCACACUAGCCCUGGACGCAAGUGUAGGCACUAACUUUCGUGUUUUCUUUGAGUGUAUU